UUCCUUUACGCUGCAAGAUGUAGACCACGGCUAUAUUAAGAAUAGAUUGUCCGUAUGCAAAUGAUGUCUUACCAAUAGUAUAAAUACUGCUUUAAACCGACCGAGAGUUACCCACUUGCUGGAACAUCUGGCUGAAGGUUUCGUUCAAGACCACACAGAACCCACACCUAAACCGUCAACAUGUCCGACGAAGAGGAGGAAGCUACUCCCCUGGUCUGCGACAAUGGUUCCGGACUGGUCAAGGCUGGCUUCGCCGGCGACGACGCCCCCAGGGCUGUCUUCCCAUCCAUCGUCGGCCGCCCAAGGCAUCAGGGCGUGAUGGUCGGUAUGGGUCAGAAGGACGCCUACGUGGGUGACGAGGCUCAGAGCAAGAGGGGUAUCCUGACCCUGAAGUACCCAGUCGAGCACGGCAUCGUCACCAACUGGGACGAUAUGGAGAAGGUCUGGCACCACACCUUCUACAACGAGCUGCGUAUCGCCCCCGAGGAGAACCCCUGCCUGCUGACAGAGGCUCCCCUGAACCCUAAGGCCAACAGGGAAAAGAUGACCCAGAUCAUGUUCGAGACCUUCAACUCCCCUGCCAUGUACGUGUGCAUCCAAGCUGUUCUGUGCCUGUACGCUUCCGGUCGUACGACUGGUAUCGUGCUGGACUCCGGCGAUGGUGUCUCCCACACUGUGCCCAUCUACGAGGGUUACGCCAUGCCCCACGCCAUCCUUCGUCUGGACCUGGCCGGCCGUGAGCUGACCAACUACCUGAUGAGGGUCAUGUGCGACCGUGGCUAUGCCUUCGUCACCACCGCUGAGCGUGAGAUCGUCCGUGACAUCAAGGAGAAGCUGGGCUACGUCGCCCUGGACUUCGAGCAGGAGAUGUUGACGGCAGCUACCUCCACCUCCCUGGAGAAGAGCUACGAGCUGCCUGAUGGACAGGUCAUCACCAUCGGCAACGAGAGGUUCCGCUGCGCUGAGGCUCUCUUCCAGCCUUCCUUCCUGGGUAUGGAGUCUGCUGGUGUUCAUGAGACUGUCUACAACAGCAUCAUGAAGUGCGACAUCGACGUCCGUAAGGACCUGUACGCCAACAAUGUCCUGUCCGGCGGCACCACCAUGUUCCCUGGCAUCGGUGACCGUAUGCAGAAGGAGAUGGUGGCUCUGGCUCCCACAACCAUGAAGAUCAAGAUCAUCGCUCCCCCAGAGAGGAAGUACUCCUGCUGGAUCGGUGGCUCCAUCUUGGCUUCCUUGUCCACCUUCGCAGCUAUGUGGAUCAAGAAGUCCGAGUACGACGAGGCUGGCCCAGCCAUUGUCCAUCGCAAGUGCUUCUAAGCAAUGCAAACUGUCGGACAUUGUAACUGUACUGUGUACCCUCUGUGGCUACCUGUUGCUUUCUUCCAUAUUGUGUGUUGGGACCAGUGUAAGGAAAUGACUUGAUUAGGUGUUCGUCAACGGGAAACUCGAUCGUUGAGGCAAUCUUGGAGCCUGUUAGCAAAUGCUACGUGCAUCACAUUCGAUGCUAAAAAUUCCUAGAAAGACAGUUGUCUGUAUGACGUAUGUAUUAUAGGGAUCCUUUUGUCACUGUUCAUGUAUGAUCUGGUCGACAAAACGUUCUAUUCUGGCACCACAUUCACCAGUCUAAGUCCUCCUCCACACAUGCGUUAUGUACUUUACAGGAAAAGGGAAUGAGGUGUGGAAAUGGUAACGACGAAUGGAAUAACGUGAAAGUGUAGAAAAUGAAUGAUUUUACGCAUUGUCCGUGGAAGAUCUGCAAUGCUUCACCUGUUAUUUCUCUGUUAUAAUCGUGCAAAGUCUCUACGUGUAAGUAAUAUGCCUCUUGUCAAUCCCAAGAACCAGUGUUGUCAAUGUUUUUGACAUGAAGUGCUAUUUUUAUUGAUAAACCUGCAUUUGUGAUGUUACAUAUCUGUUUAGGCAUUCCCCUGACCUUGUAUUACCGAGGCUAUUAAAAUGCUACAAAUGCAAACCUU